rnacentral:misc_RNA from 1 species
GAUGAAGAACGUAGCGAAAUGCGAUAAGUAAUGUGAAUUGCAGAAUUCAGUGAAUCAUCGAAUCUUUGAACGCACAUUGCGCCCGCCAGUAUUCUGGCGGGCAUGCCUGUUCGAGCGUCAUUUCAACCAUCAAGCCCCCGGCUUGUGUUGGGGACCUGCGGCUGCCGCAGGCCCUGAAAACCAGUGGCGGGCUCGCUAGUCACUCCGAGCGUAGUAAUACAUCUCGCUCAGGGCGUGCUGCGGGUUCCGGCCGUUAAAAAGCCUUAUUUACCCAAGGUUGACCUCGGAUCAGGUAGGAAGACCCGCUGAACUUAAGCAUAUUAAUAAGCGGAGGA